UUUAUAAGAAUUCAGAUCCACUGGGAGAUUACUACAAAACUCAUGAACCCUGGAAAGUUAAUGAAAAGUUGGGAGUUAGGAAAUGCCAAAGAGGUUUUACGUGAAAUUAUUACGGAUCAAUUAGCGGCUGGUGUGAUCAAGGAUCUCCAAUACCAUCAAUAUUGGUUGUUAAUUUAUUUGAAGCAAAAAUGUGUUAACUGCAAGGAUGAAUUAAUAAAGAAGAAUAUCAGGUCUUUCCACAAUUGAAAAGUUCCAAUACCUCAUAGUUGUCCUCCAAAAAGUAAUCAUCUACAGGAGACGACCACUGUGAUAAUGUCAUAUUCAAGGGAGCAUCAGUUUGUUGAGUGACAUUUUCGGGCCAAAUAAUUAGCGCUGCACCAAGAAGGAGAGACCCAAACACCAGACCCAAGUCGUGAGCCGCUCUCAGAGCCCUCAGUGCCCGUCUCAAAGCUAUUUUUCGUCUACUUUCAUCACCCGCCGCCUGCGCUAAAGAAUUGGCUGAGGCUGCAAGAGCUAGAGACAUUGGCGAUAGACUCAACCCACACAGAGCGUAGAGAAACAGAAGAACAGACAGAGGAGUGGCCACUGUGUGCGCCGUUAGAAGAAUAAACACCAAUAUGUGAGCUACAGUUAUUACUAUCCUGUUACCAGUCUUCUGUAGUAUUAGAGGUGCGAAUGGGGCUGUUAUAGCCGCUAUCGAAUGCAUUAUGGCUAAAGGUAAGGAACCGGCUUCUGCUCCAGCGAAUGCUGUGAAUGGAUGUAGGGCUGUGGCACAAAGACCACUCGAAAUACACAAAAGGGUGAAUCUGUGCACUAAAGUUCUGGGUAGUUUUUGGGGUGGGCGAGCCAGAAGUCUCCGGACUGAUGCGGCGCCAAGAGAAGAAGCAGCCGAUUCUCGUCUUCUGGCAGAUACGGCGGGGCCUACUCGAAUAGGGGUCUUCGAUUUCCUCCAUGGCCAAUCUUUCUUAUAUAUUGCGUUCACUGGUAUCUGAAAGAGACAGACGUUAUAAAUUAUUUGACUUAAUUACAUUAGAGAAGAGUAAAUUACACCUUAUUGUUAGGUAAUAUAUCAUAACAAAAACAAAACAAAUACAAAUCUUUAAACAACAAAA